rnacentral:rRNA from 1 species
UGGGGAAUAUUGCACAAUGGGGGAAACCCUGAUGCAGCGACGCCGCGUGAACGAAGAAGGUAUUCGUAUCGUAAAGUUCUGUCCUAUGGGAAGAUAAUGACAGUACCAUAGAAGAAAGCUCCGGCUAAAUACGUGCCAGAAGCCGCGGUAAUACGUAUGGAGCGAGCGUUGUCCGGAAUUAUUGGGCGUAAAGGGUACGCAGGCGGUUUAAUAAGUCGAAUGUUAAAGAUCGGGGCUCAACCCCGUAAAGCAUUGGAAACUGAUAAACUUGAGUAGUGGAGAGGAAAGUGGAAUUCCUAGUGUAGUGGUGAAAUACGUAGAUAUUAGGAGGAAUACCAGUAGCGAAGGCGACUUUCUGGACACAAACUGACGCUGAGGUACGAAAGCGUGGGGAGCAAACAGG